AAAUGCGAUAAGUAAUGUGAAUUGCAGAAUUCAGUGAAUCAUCGAAUCUUUGAACGCACAUUGCGCCCGUCAGCAUUCUGGCGGGCAUGCCUGUUCGAGCGUCAUUUCAACCCUCAGGACCCCCCUUUCGCGGGGAGGGACCUGGCGUUGGGGAUCGGCCCGCCCCCCGUGGCGGCGCCGUCCCCGAAAUCUAGUGGCGGUCUCGCUGCAGCCUCCCCUGCGUAGUAGUUACAACCUCGCAUCGGAGCGCGGCGCGGCCACGCCGUAAAACCCCCGACUUUCUGAACGUUGACCUCGGAUCAGGUAGGAAUACCCGCUGAACUUAAGC
rnacentral:misc_RNA from 1 species